rnacentral:rRNA from 1 species
GACGAACGCUGGCGGCGUGCCUAAUACAUGCAAGUUGAGCGCUGAAGGUUGGUACUUGUACCGACUGGAUGAGCAGCGAACGGGUGAGUAACGCGUGGGGAAUCUGCCUUUGAGCGGGGGACAACAUUUGGAAACGAAUGCUAAUACCGCAUAAAAACUUUAAACACAAGUUUUAAGUUUGAAAGAUGCAAUUGCAUCACUCAAAGAUGAUCCCGCGUUGUAUUAGCUAGUUGGUGAGGUAAAGGCUCACCAAGGCGAUGAUACAUAGCCGACCUGAGAGGGUGAUCGGCAACAUUGGACUGAGACACGGCCCAAACUCCUACGGGAGGCAGCAGUAGGGAAUCUUCGGCAAUGGACGAAAGUCUGACCGAGCAACGCCGCGUGAGUGAAGAAGGGUUUCGGAUCGUAAAACUCUGUUGGUAGAGAAGAACGUUGGUGAGAGUGGAAAGCUCAUCAAGUGACGGUAACUACCCAGAAAGGGACGGCUAACUACGUG